rnacentral:rRNA from 2 species
ACAACUUUCAGCAACGGAUCUCUUGGCUCUCGCAUCGAUGAAGAACGCAGCGAAUUGCGAUAAGUAAUGUGAAUUGCAGAUUUUCAGUGAAUCAUCGAAUCUUUGAACGCACCUUGCGCUCCUUGGUAUUCCGAGGAGCAUGCCUGUUU